rnacentral:rRNA from 1 species
CCUACGGGCUGCACCAGUAGGGAAUCUUCGGCAAUGGACGAAAGUCUGACCGAGCAACGCCGCGUGAGUGAAGAAGGUUUUCGGAUCGUAAAACUCUGUUGUUAGAGAAGAACAAGUAGGAGAGUAACUGCUCUUACCUUGACGGUAUCUAACCAGAAAGUCACGGCUAACUACGUGCCAGCAGCCGCGGUAAUACGUAGGUGGCAAGCGUUGUCCGGAUUUAUUGGGCGUAAAGCGAGCGCAGGCGGUCUUUUAAGUCUGAUGUGAAAGCCCUCGGCUCAACCGAGGAAGGUCAUUGGAAACUGGAGGGCUUGAGUGCAGAAGAGGAGAGUGGGAUUCCAUGUGUAGCGGUGAAAUGCGUAGAUAUAUGGAGGAACACCAGUGGCGAAGGCGACUCUCUGGUCUGUAACUGACGCUGAGGCUCGAAAGCGUGGGGAGCAAACAGGAUUAGAUACCCUUGUA